rnacentral:rRNA from 1 species
UACGUAGGGGGCUAGCGUUGUCCGGAAUCAUUGGGCGUAAAGAGCGUGUAGGCGGCCCGGUAAGUCCGCUGUGAAAGUCGGGGGCUCAACCCUCGAAUGCCGGUGGAAACUGUCGGGCUCGAGUGCGGAAGAGGCGAGUGGAAUUCCUGGUGUAGCGGUGAAAUGCGCAGAUAUCAGGAGGAACACCGAUUGCGAAGGCAGCUCGCUGGGACGGUAUUGACGCUGAGACGCGAAAGCGUGGGGAGCAAACAGG